UCAGCAUGAGGGAGCCCAUGGACGUUGAACUAACCAGAUCUCUGCAGAUCACAUGAAAAACGGUUUCUUUCUUCUGGAUCCUUCAGACUUUUCCCAGCCUUGUUUACAGGUACUUAUGAAACAAAGUUCAGAGGAGCACUGGAGAUGAUGCAAUAUGAAACACAUCCGCAGAGGAAGAAGCACCAGGUAAUAAACCAAAUUUACUUUCCUCUCUGCAGGUGGAGAUAUUGCAAGAAGAGGUUUUAGAAAUAGCUGUUCUAGGUUCCAAGCUUUGGGCAUGACCCAGAAAGUAGAAGGAGCUGGAUAAUGUGUGCCCCUCGUAGCCUGUAUGCCUGGGGAGCUGCUUACGCCUUCUGCCCAGUGCGGCCCUGAAGUUGAGCAAGAGAAAAGUUCUCAGCUGAAGGGGGAAAAAAUUGAGGGGAAAGGCACA
rnacentral:lncRNA from 1 species